rnacentral:rRNA from 1 species
AAAUUGAAGAGUUUGAUCAUGGCUCAGAUUGAACGCUGGCGGCAGGCCUAACACAUGCAAGUCGAGCGGUAGCACAGAGAGCUUGCUCUCGGGUGACGAGCGGCGGACGGGUGAGUAAUGUCUGGGAAACUGCCUGAUGGAGGGGGAUAACUACUGGAAACGGUAGCUAAUACCGCAUAAUGUCGCAAGACCAAAGUGGGGGACCUUCGGGCCUCAUGCCAUCAGAUGUGCCCAGAUGGGAUUAGCUAGUAGGUGGGGUAACGGCUCACCUAGGCGACGAUCCCUAGCUGGUCUGAGAGGAUGACCAGCCACACUGGAACUGAGACACGGUCCAGACUCCUACGGGAGGCAGCAGUGGGGAAUAUUGCACAAUGGGCGCAAGCCUGAUGCAGCCAUGCCGCGUGUGUGAAGAAGGCCUUCGGGUUGUAAAGCACUUUCAGCGGGGAGGAAGGCGAUAAGGUUAAUAACCUUGUCGAUUGACGUUACCCGCAGAAGAAGCACCGGCUAACUCCGUGCCAGCAGCCGCGGUAAUACGGAGGGUGCAAGCGUUAAUCGGAAUUACUGGGCGUAAAGCGCACGCAGGCGGUCUGUCAAGUCGGAUGUGAAAUCCCCGGGCUCAACCUGGGAACUGCAUUCGAAACUGGCAGGCUAGAGUCUUGUAGAGGGGGGUAGAAUUCCAGGUGUAGCGGUGAAAUGCGUAGAGAUCUGGAGGAAUACCGGUGGCGAAGGCGGCCCCCUGGACAAAAACUGACGCUCAGGUGCGAAAGCGUGGGGAGCAAACAGGAUUAGAUACCCUGGUAGUCCACGCCGUAAACGAUGUCGAUUUGGAGGUUGUGCCCUUGAGGCGUGGCUUCCGGAGCUAACGCGUUAAAUCGACCGCCUGGGGAGUACGGCCGCAAGGUUAAAACUCAAAUGAAUUGACGGGGGCCCGCACAAGCGGUGGAGCAUGUGGUUUAAUUCGAUGCAACGCGAAGAACCUUACCUGGUCUUGACAUCCACAGAACUUUCCAGAGAUGGAUUGGUGCCUUCGGGAACUGUGAGACAGGUGCUGCAUGGCUGUCGUCAGCUCGUGUUGUGAAAUGUUGGGUUAAGUCCCGCAACGAGCGCAACCCUUAUCCUUUGUUGCCAGCGGUCCGGCCGGGAACUCAAAGGAGACUGCCAGUGAUAAACUGGAGGAAGGUGGGGAUGACGUCAAGUCAUCAUGGCCCUUACGACCAGGGCUACACACGUGCUACAAUGGCAUAUACAAAGAGAAGCGACCUCGCGAGAGCAAGCGGACCUCAUAAAGUAUGUCGUAGUCCGGAUUGGAGUCUGCAACUCGACUCCAUGAAGUCGGAAUCGCUAGUAAUCGUAGAUCAGAAUGCUACGGUGAAUACGUUCCCGGGCCUUGUACACACCGCCCGUCACACCAUGGGAGUGGGUUGCAAAAGAAGUAGGUAGCUUAACCUUCGGGAGGGCGCUUACCACUUUGUGAUUCAUGACUGGGGUGAAGUCGUAACAAGGUAACCGUAGGGGAACCUGCGGUUGGAUCACCUCCUUACCUUAAAGAA